AACGAACGCUGGCGGCGUGGAUUAGGCAUGCAAGUCGAACGCGAAAGAGGGGGUAACUCCUCGAGUAGAGUGGCGAACGGGUGAGUAACACGUGAGAAACCUGCCUUCAGCAGGGGGAUAACACUCCCAACGGGGUGCUAAUACCGCAUGAGACCACGGAUUCGCAUGGAUCUGGGGUCAAAGGUGGCCUCUGCUUGCAAGCUACCGGCUGAAGAUGGUCUCGCGUCCCAUUAGCUAGUUGGUGGGUAAUGGCCACCAAGGCGACGAUGGGUAGCUGGUCUGAGAGGAUGGUCAGCCACACUGGGACUGAGAUACGGCCCAGACUCCUACGGGAGCAGCAGUCGAGAGGCUUUGGCAAU
rnacentral:rRNA from 1 species